rnacentral:rRNA from 1 species
AUUGAACGCUGGCGGCAUGCUUUACACAUGCAAGUCGAACGGUAACAGAUCUUCGGAUGCUGACGAGUGGCGAACGGGUGAGUAAUACAUCGGAACGUGCCUAGUAGUGGGGGAUAACUACUCGGAAGAGUGGCUAAUACCGCAUGAGAUCUACGGAUGAAAGCAGGGGAUCGCAAGACCUUGUGCUACUAGAGCGGCCGAUGGCAGAUUAGGUAGUUGGUGGGAUAAAAGCUUACCAAGCCGACGAUCUGUAGCUGGUCUGAGAGGACGAUCAGCCACACUGGGACUGAGACACGGCCCAGACUCCUACGGGAGGCAGCAGUGGGGAAUUUUGGACAAUGGGCGCAAGCCUGAUCCAGCAAUGCCGCGUGCAGGAUGAAGGCCUUCGGGUUGUAAACUGCUUUUGUACGGAACGAAAAGCCCUGGGUUAAUACCCUGGGGUCAUGACGGUACCGUAAGAAUAAGCACCGGCUAACUACGUGCCAGCCGCCGCAGUAAAAC